ACACAUGCAAGUCGAACGGUAACAGGUCUUCGGAUGCUGACGAGUGGCGAACGGGUGAGUAAUGCAUCGGAACGUGCCCAGUCGUGGGGGAUAACGCAGCGAAAGCUGUGCUAAUACCGCAUACGAUCUAUGGAUGAAAGCGGGGGAUCGCAAGACCUCGCGCGAUUGGAGCGGCCGAUGUCAGAUUAGCUAGUUGGUGGGGUAAAGGCCCACCAAGGCGACGAUCUGUAGCUGGUCUGAGAGGACGACCAGCCACACUGGGACUGAGACACGGCCCAGACUCCUACGGGAGGCAGCAGUAGGGAAUAUUCCGCAAUGGGCGAAAGCCUGACGGAGCGACGCCGCGUGAAUGAAGAAAUCUUUCGGGAUGUAAA
rnacentral:rRNA from 1 species